GACGAACCGUCCAAACGUUGUUCGGAAUCACUGGGCUUAAAGGGCGCGUAGGCGGGCUGCCAAGUCAGGGGUGAAAUCCCACGGCUCAACCGUGGAAGUGCCUCUGAUACUGGCGGCCUCGAGGGAGGUAGGGGCGUGCGGAACUUCCGGUGGAGCGGUGAAAUGCGUAGAUAUCGGAAGGAACACCGGUGGCGAAAGCGGCGCGCUGGACCUCUACUGACGCUGAGGCGCGAAGGCCAGGGGAGCAAACGGG
rnacentral:rRNA from 1 species